UACGAAGGGGGGCUAGCGUUGCUCGGAAUCACUGGGCGUAAAGGGUGCGUAGGCGGGUCUUUAAGUCAGGGGUGAAAUCCUGGAGCUCAACUCCAGAACUGCCUUUGAUACUGAGGAUCUUGAGUACGGGAGAGGUGAGUGGAACUGCGAGUGUAGAGGUGAAAUUCGUAGAUAUUCGCAAGAACACCAGUGGCGAAGGCGGCUCACUGGCCCGUUACUGACGCUGAGGCACGAAAGCGUGGGGAGCAACA
rnacentral:rRNA from 1 species